rnacentral:pre_miRNA from 1 species
CAAGUACUCCCUUCGUCCGGAAUUACUUGUCAUCAAAAUGGAUGUGUCUAGAACUAAAAUACAUCUAGAUACAUCCAUUUCAAUGACAAGUAUUUUCAGACAGAGGGAGUACAAG